rnacentral:rRNA from 1 species
CCGCCCGUCAAACUACGAGAGGUAAGUAUGUCUAAAACCGCAAAAUUAACCUGCAAAGUGGAAUAUGCGUCUAGGAUAGAUUUACUGAUUGGAGUUAAGUCGUAACAAGGUACCCCUACGAGAACGUGGGGGUGGAUCACCUCCUUU